GAUGAACGCUGGCGGCGUGCCUAAUACAUGCAAGUCGAGCGAACAGACGAGGAGCUUGCUCCACUGACGUUAGCGGCGGACGGGUGAGUAACACGUGGAUAACCUACCUAUAAGACUGGGAUAACUUCGGGAAACCGGAGCUAAUACCGGAUAAUAUAUUGAACCGCAUGGUUCAAUAGUGAAAGACGGUUUUGCUGUCACUUAUAGAUGGAUCCGCGCCGCAUUAGCUAGUUGGUAAGGUAACGGCUUACCAAGGCAACGAUGCGUAGCCGACCUGAGAGGGUGAUCGGCCACACUGGAACUGAGACACGGUCCAGACUCCUACGGGAGGCAGCAGUAGGGAAUCUUCCGCAAUGGGCGAAAGCCUGACGGAGCAACGCCGCGUGAGUGAUGAAGGUCUUCGGAUCGUAAAACUCUGUUAUUAGGGAAGAACAAAUGUGUAAGUAACUAUGCACGUCUUGACGGUACCUAAUCAGAAAGCCACGGCUAACUACGUG
rnacentral:rRNA from 1 species